UUCAAUGGAGAAAGAGUUGCUUACCAGCCUUUGUCUGUGGAGUCCUGCAAGGAUCCAGGAAUCCUCAUGUGGCAGUUGGUGUCUAGAGUCCCCAUGGGGAUCCCUAGGGACAUAAGGUAAAUCUGGUCUUGGACCUAGGGGACCGAAGAGGUCCUGCCACCUCCAUGUGCAUGUGUCAAGGUGAUGGUGUCCCUUGGCAUUCUUGGCCCCCUCGUUAUUUAAAGUUGUUCAGGUUGGAAAGGAUGGCAUCGCAGGCCCUGCACUCUCACUGAGGGGGCUCUUGUCAUGAGUGAGAACGAAUUGAGGCUGGAACCCUGAGCGUGGAAGGGCUGAUUCUGU
rnacentral:lncRNA from 1 species